rnacentral:lncRNA from 1 species
GGAAUCGUAUAUGACGACCGUUCGUAUCUCAUUCGGCACAUUAAUGUAUGUAGAAUUUCGGUGUACAUCUCCGUAUGUGUAUACACUCCACGAGUCCAUGUGAUGAGAGAGUGCCCACCAACCCUCAUCACCUGGCUGAAGUAUGAAAUUCAUCCACAUACAUGGCUGAAAAACAAAACAAAACAAAACAAACAGCCGCUGUGGUGUAGCUUUUGUUGUGGCCUUGCUCAUCUUACUCCUUUUGUAUUUUUAUACGUAAAUGAGAUGUAACAGUGGUAAAGAGGCUCCAUACCUAUGGAUGCAGCCAUUGGGUAUCAUGCUCUGUGAGUGCUAUAGGGUGGGCAUGUUAUUUUGUGCUAUAUAUAUAAUGUUAUGAAGGAUGAUUUUUCUCAGUUCCUGGAUAAAAACAAUAGAUGUAGGGAUGUCUGAGUGAGUGGGUUAAUACUGUCAUACAAUGCAGCAGCAGCCCAUAUUAAGUGCGUGUUUUCAAUGAAUGCAGGGAUUCCAUGUGGGCUGCUCUUCAGAGCCCCUCCUGUGACAGCAUUUGGCAUUGUAGUAGUUUGGCAUUGGUGAAGCCUUGCUCCCCUACUGUGUUGAAUGGAAACUGGGUCUUCUUCUACAUCACUAGAGAAAGCAUUAUCUAUAUUUAUAUAUAUAAAUAUUUAUUUAUUUAUUUAUUUAUACAUAUAUAUAUAUAUGUGUGUGUGUGUGUUCAUGUCGUUUUGUUUUACUUUGUUGAUUGCUAGUUGUGUUUUAAAUUUUCCGACAAUUUAAAGCUUCAAAAACAAAGCUCAACGGGUAAUAAAUAAUAAUUUAUAUAUUUGCUCUUGUCUUUUCUACAAGGAUACUGCGUAAAGCUUUUGCAUUGAUGUAAAAGAUAUUUGGAAGGUCUUCCAAUUGAUAUGAUUCUGGAAAAUCAAAAGUGUAACAGUGAUUUAGAAUAAUAAAUGAGUGAAUAAUUAAAUUCCUCCAGAUAGUUUCCUGUUCAGUUUUUUCUGAGGAAACACAUCAACAGUUUUCUUCAUAUAAUAUUUGACAUUGCUCUCGCUUUCAAUACAUGCCACUAACUUCAUCAAUAAUCCAAACGUUUGACAAGUGUGUGGACAGGAAUUAAAUCUGGUCAAGAGAUUUAUCAAAAAUAUAUAUACUGUAAAAUAGGUUUGUUGUCAGUGUUUGACGUUCCGGAUUUACUCGUGAAAUGAAACGAUGUUGAUUUUUUUUGUAUUUGGAUAAUAAAUAAGCAAAUAAAAUCCACAUGUGGGUAAUGAAGGUCUGGGCCCACCGGAUUGUUUGACAGAACUCAAAGUUUAUUGUUACAGAUGUUUAUUUUCCAAAGGGGCUUUAAAGCCAAUGUGAACAGCCAGCUGUAAGGAAUGGUUUCAUCCACAUCACUAAGGUUCAAUUCAUUCUUUGUGUUACAAAUAAAUAAAUUAAAUGUGUAGAUUUUUUCUUGAAUACAAAAAAUAAUGAAACAUAUACAGAGUGCAAGUAAGACCUGACAGGAAAGAGUGAACUCAAAGCAUGUGAUACUUCUAGGUCUUCUUUCAAUUUCAUAUCAUGGAAAAAGAAAAAGAAAAACAAACAAACAAUCAAGCAAAGUACACCAAAAGAAACCAACAUAAUGGAGAAAAGAUAAAUUUGAAAAUAUCAAUCAUUAAUAUUUUCUUUUUCUCUUUUUUAUCUGUUCCUUUGGAGGGUGCUUCAAUUUCAAUUUUCUUUUUUUCCCAAAUUCUAUAAAAAUUAAGAUGUUGUAAUGGUUUUGAAACAGAAAAUGUAAUAAUUAAUUUUCUUUUUUUCAAAAAUAGAAACAUGACAUCAGGUAAAAUGAAAUAGGUAGACCUUUCUACUCCUUCAUUUGUACUUUGUGAGACAGCCAUUAACCACAUGGAAAAAAAAUUAUAUAUGUAUGUAUAUAUACUAUAAAAAAAGAAGAAAAAAAGAAAGAAAAAAAGAAGACAUAUUUAAGUUUUCUCAUUUGACAAACUUUAAAAACACGUAUGCAUGUGUUGAACCUUAGUAUGAUUUAACACCAUGAACAAUUCACCAUUUUGAAUACAUCAAAAGGGGGCCUGGGCAUCAUGGAGUGAAGAAGGGAGGGGACAACAGGUGGGGUAUAUCCAUUGUAUAUCCAUUGAUUUUAUUAUUUGCAUGGACAAUGGCUACCUUGAAGUUGAUGCAUCACUCAUUUUCAAAGGUUGUGUAUGUCCACUUUGACAUCACCAAAG